CCCGCCGGACCUGACUGCUAUCGGAUUGAUACUAAGCCAUGCGAGUCAUUGUAGCAAUACAAGGCAGACGGCUCAGUAACGCGUAGUCAACCUAACCUAUGGACGGGAAUAACCUCGGGAAACUGAGAAUAAUGCCCGAUAGAACACUAUGCCUGGAAUGGUUUGUGUUCCAAAUGAUUUAUCGCCGUAGGAUGGGACUGCGGCCUAUCAGUUUGUUGGUGAGGUAAUGGCCCACCAAGACUAUUACAGGUACGGGCUCUGAGAGGAGUAGCCCGGAGAUGGGUACUGAGACACGGACCCAGGCCCUAUGGGGCGCAGCAGGCGAGAAAACUUUGCAAUGUGCGAAAGCACGACAAGGUUAAUCCGAGUGGUUUCUGCUAAAGGAACCUUUUGUCGGUCCUAGAAACACCGAUGAAUAAGGGGUGGGCAAGUUCUGGUGUCAGCCGCCGCGGUAAAACCAGCACCUCAAGUGGUCAGGAUGAUUAUUGGGCCUAAAGCAUCCGUAGCCUGCUUUGUUAGUUUUCGGUUAAAUCUGUACGCUCAACGUACAGGCUGCCGGGAAUACUGCAAAGCUAGGGAGUGGGAGAGGUAGACGGUACUCGGUAGGAAGGGGUAAAAUCCUUUGAUCUAUUGAUGACCACCUGUGGCGAAAGGCGGUCUACCAGAACACGUCCGACGGUGAGGGAUGAAAGCUGGGGGAGCAAACCGGAUUAGAUACCCGGGUAGUCCCAGCCGUAAACCAUGCAAACUCAGUGAUGCAUUGGCUUGUGGCCAAUGCAGUGCUGCAGGGAAGCCGUUAAGUUUGCCGCCUGGGAAGGUACGUACGCAAGUAUGAAACUUAAAGGAAUUGGCGGGGGAGCACCACAA
rnacentral:rRNA from 1 species